rnacentral:rRNA from 1 species
UACGCAGGGUGCGAGCGUUAAUCGGAAUUACUGGGCGUAAAGCGUGCGCAGGCGGCUUUGCAAGACAGAUGUGAAAUCCCCGGGCUCAACCUGGGAACUGCAUUUGUGACUGCAAGGCUAGAGUACGGCAGAGGGGGAUGGAAUUCCGCGUGUAGCAGUGAAAUGCGUAGAUAUGCGGAGGAACACCAAUGGCGAAGGCAAUCCCCUGGGAUAACACUGACGCUCAUGCACGAAAGCGUGGGGAGCAAACAGG